rnacentral:rRNA from 1 species
GACGAACGCUGGCGGCGUGCUUAACACAUGCAAGUCGAACGGAAAGGCCCUGCUUUUGUGGGGUGCUCGAGUGGCGAACGGGUGAGUAACACGUGAGUAACCUGCCCUUGACUUUGGGAUAACUUCAGGAAACUGGGGCUAAUACCGGAUAGGAGCUCCUGCUGCAUGGUGGGGGUUGGAAAGUUUCGGCGGUUGGGGAUGGACUCGCGGCUUAUCAGCUUGUUGGUGGGGUAGUGGCUUACCAAGGCUUUGACGGGUAGCCGGCCUGGGAGGGUGACCGGCCACAUUGGGACUGAGGUAGGGACCAGAAUCCUACGGGAGGCAGCAGUGGGGAAUAUUGCGCAAUGGGCGGAAGCCUGAGGCAGCAACGCCGCGUGCGGGAUGACGGCCUUCGGGUUGUAAACCGCUUUCGCCUGUGACGAAGCGUGAGUGACGGUAAUGGGUAAAGAAGCACCGGCUAACUACGUG